rnacentral:rRNA from 1 species
AAGCUCGUAGUUGAAUUUCCGUCCUGGCUGGGUGGUCUUGCCGAAAGGUAAGCACUGCUCUGGUCGGGUCUUUCCUUCUGGGGAACCAGCGUGCUCUUAAUUGAGUGCGUUGGGGAUCCAGGACUUUUACUUUGAAAAAAUUAGAGUGUUUAAAGCAGGCUUACGCUUGAAUACAUUAGCAUGGAAUAAUAGAAUAGGACUUUGGUUCUAUUUUGUUGGUUUCUAGGACCGAAGUAAUGAUUAAUAGGGAUAGUUGGGGGCAUUAGUAUUUAAUUGUCAGAGGUGAAAUUCUUAGAUUUAUGAAAGACUAACUUCUGCGAAGGCAUUUGCCAAGGAUGUUUUCAUUAAUCAAGAACGAAAGUUAGGGGAUCGAAGACGAUCAGAUACCGUCGUAGUCUUAACCAUAAACUAUGCCGACUAGGGAUCGGACGAUGUUAUUUUUUUGACUCGUUCGGCACCUUAUGAGAAAUCAAAGUUUUU